rnacentral:tRNA from 1 species
GCCACGGUGGUCUAGCGGUUAGAACGCUGGUCUUGUAAUCCUGGGGUCUCGGGUUCGAUUCCCGGCGGUGCCU